rnacentral:rRNA from 1 species
AGUGAACGCUGGCGGCAGGCCUAACACAUGCAAGUCGAACGGCAGCACAGUAAGAGCUUGCUCUUAUGGGUGGCGAGUGGCGGACGGGUGAGGAAUGCAUCGGAAUCUACCUUUUCGUGGGGGAUAACGUAGGGAAACUUACGCUAAUACCGCAUACGACCUUCGGGUGAAAGCAGGGGACCUUCGGGCCUUGCGCGAUUGGAUGAGCCGAUGUCGGAUUAGCUAGUUGGUGAGGUAAAGGCUCACCAAGGCGACGAUCCGUAGCUGGUCUGAGAGGAUGAUCAGCCACACUGGAACUGAGACACGGUCCAGACUCCUACGGGAGGCAGCAGUGGGGAAUAUUGGACAAUGGGCGCAAGCCUGAUCCAGCCAUGCCGCGUGGGUGAAGAAGGCCUUCGGGUUGUAAAGCCCUUUUGUUGGGAAAGAAAAGCAGUCGAUUAAUACUCGAUUGUUCUGACGGUACCCAAAGAAUAAGCACCGGCUAACUUCGUGCCAGCAGCCGCGGUAAUAC